GAACGAACAGAGAACUAAAUGUAUGUUACAUAUAAACUUGAUGCUUUUACACCAAAUAGCAAUUCAGUCCUAAUCAGUGUAAAUGCUAAAGUAAAGUUGAAUGAAAACAUAACAAGGAUAAUAAACCAAUGAUGGAAUUACUGUAAUGUUCCAACCACAUUUCAGUCAUCCAUGUCAAGAAGCAACUUUUCCAUUUUCUUUAACCUCUUCUCCAUUUUCUUUCACCCCUUUGCUCAAGGUUUCUUCUGAACUCUUCACCUCACUGUCACCUUCUUUCUGUUUCUCUUUCUCUUCUUUCUCAGCUCUUAGUCUUUCUUCUUCCUCUGCUUUGAGUUUUGCUUCCUCUUCUGCUUUCAGCCUCGCAUCUUCCUUGGCUUGCUCAAUUGCUUUGAUCAAUCUCUCUAAACAUAUGUCAGCACCCUCUCCAGCAGCCUUUGGCAUCAAAUUUUCUGCAACAUCUGCUGGAGUCACAUUGGUUUCCUCCAACAUAUGUUCAAUCUCGGAAAACAGAUGGUGGGACUCAAUGUCCAAGUAAUUCUUAGCCAAUACCUUGAAUGCUUCAAAUCCACAAUAUGAGAGUUCAAUGUGCUUAUCCAUCCUCCCUCUUCUAAUGAGAGCAGGAUCAAGCUUUUCAACAAAAUUAGUUGUGAAAACAAUAAGCCUUUCGCCUCCUAAAGCUGACCAAAGCCCGUCGAUGAAGUUCAGAAGCCCUGAAAGAGUAACCUGGCUGCUCUUCUUUUCCUCCAUAUUUUUCAUCUUCUUCUUGACUGGAUCUUUUUCUUGCUUUUCUUCCUCAUUUUUAUUUUUCUUCUCUUUUUUCUUCUCCCUCUGCCCCGUAAGAUCAAGGGAACAAUCGAUAUCUUCUAUUACAAUAAUAGCUUUGCCCGAUGUAUCAAUCAGCAAUUUCCUCAAUUCAGUAUUAUCCUUAACUGAAGUCAACUCGAGAUCAUACACAUCAUAAUUCAUGAAAUUAGCCAUGGCAGCAAUCAUUGAGGACUUACCAGUUCCUGGAGGACCAUAAAGAAGAUAUCCUCGCUUCCAUGCCUUGCCUAUCUUUGCAUAAUAGUCUUUAGAUUUGCUAAAAGUGGUGAGAUCAUCAAUGAUUUCUUGCUUCUUCUUAGGUUCCAUGGCCAGAGUAUCAAAUGUAGACGGAUGCUCAAAAACAACACUGCUCCACAUUGUCCUCUUGUACCCAUACCAAUCUUCACUCUUCUUGUUGAUGUACAACUUCCGCUGUCUCUGACUUACAGUGAUAGCUUUUCCCUGAUCCAGCACAUGUUUCAGAUACAUCUUUGUGAUGAUUUCUCGGUGUUUUUUGUGAAAAGUGAGUUUGAAAUAUCUCUUCGCCUCUUCUCUGGGAUAGAAUGAAAUCGACUGGCUGGUAGGAGUGUGUUUGUGAGAAGCCCACCAAAGCUUGAUUCCCUCAUAUUCAUCAGUAACCUCCCCGCCUCCUGCAUACUCAGGACUAUCUGCUCGCAAUCUUGGAUGACGUUGGCUCUGAGACGGUUUGCUUGCUUGGUAGAGUUCUGAUCAAGGUACCUUUCAAUGGCCAUAAAGGCUUUACUCCGCUGAAAACCAUCACCUUGAUAUUCAGGGAAUAUGAUUUGGAUAUAUGGGGAGAAAAAGCUUCUAAGUUUCUCCUCAUAUCUCUUAAUUUGGCCACGAAGUUCGCCAGGGAAUAAGUUUUGACACAUUGCCCAGACAAACAUUAUGCUCGCCAUAGCUGACCCUAAACUAGCCCACAUUUCCCCCAUGGACAUCAAUUUACUCGCAUUGAACGAAUAAUGACUAUAUUUUGAAGCUGUGGUAAAGUUUUGUUUCAGAGCUAGUUUGCUUUCCUUAUUUAUACGGAGAAAAUCAACUAAUUCUUCUGUUUUAACCAUCUUCUCAGAAGCUACACAUUGUUUUUCCUAGAAAUGAGAUCCAGUUGGGCCAGUCAUCUUGCGAUCCUUUUUCUUCUGUUCCUCGAUUGUUUGGAAAAAAGAGUAUCUUAUUUUGUCUGUUCAGACUAAGGAAGCUGCAGUGGGAAAACUUGGACUUGGCGACGUUUUCUAGUCAAAAAUGUCCCCACCCUUUCCUCCUCAAACGAACCCUUUGACAGCUCCAAACGAAGCCGCUCAGAUUUUGCUUUGCUGAUCAAUGUUUAAAAACCGAACCGUUAAUUGAACCGGUGAAGUGAAAGGGUCGAGAUUCAAUCGGUCGGACCGAUUCAACCUCGGUUCAAUGAAUUUUUUAAAAAAUAAUUUAUAUAAAUAUAUAUAUGUACAAAAUAAGACAUGUAAUGGACUAAUUUAAUAUUUUAUAUGAUGAAAAGUUUACUAUUUUUUAAUAACUUGGAUUUUUAAAAAUAAAUUUUUUAAAUUAUAAGUUAAAACAAAUAAAUUUUAUCUCAAUUUCAAUUAUAUCUAAAUCCAACCCCAAAAUAUCACAAUAUUUUGAAAUUAUACAAAAUUCAUGUAUCUGAGAAUUUAGAUAUUAUGAAUUUAAAUUUUAAUCUACGUUUUGAGAUUUAGAUAUUGCAAUUUAAAAAAGAAAAUUUGGAGUUCGAAGGAAAUCAAGAAAAUCGAAAAUAGAAAUGUAAACUUGAUAAGAAACAAAAAAUAAAAUAAAAGUGAGUGGUUGUAGCAUUAAAUAAUUUGGGUUAAAAAAAAUUCUUUUUUAACUUUUUUCAAUUUAAUGGACAAAAACAAAAUUAAAAGAUGGAAGAAAACAUUAAUAAAUUAAAAAUAAAGAGGUUUGAUUAAAAAGGAAGUGACAAAAAAGAAAAGAGAGAGAGAGAGAGAGAGAGAGAGAGAGAGAGAGUUGAAAAUUAAAAAGAAAGAGCCAUGAGGGGAUGAGAUUUUGUAAGAAAAAUAGAAAAAGAAAUAUGAGUAUUUGCUUUAUAUAAAUAAGUUAUCAAAAAAAACUAAUAAGAUGUGAUGGUGCAAUGGUUAAUACAUUGGUCUUUUAUUACAAAGGUCUUGGGUUCGAAUCUUGAUUGUUGCAUUUUGCAAAACUAAACUAAAAAAAAAGGGAAAGCUGAAAAUCGGAAAACUGGCGGUUCAAUCCGGUUCGGCGGUUUUCACGGUUCAACCGGUCUUUGACCGGGUUUCUAGCAAAGUCAACAAUGUCAUUGAACCGGACGGUGCCAUGGCCGGUUUGCGGUUCAACCGGUCGAACCGACCGGUCCGGUCCGAUUUUCAAAACAUUGUUGCUAAUCGCAAGAAGCAGACCCAUGUUGUUCUUUCUCUUUUUUUUUUUUUUUUUGUUGUGCUGAUUUUGUUUGCCGUUAACUUUAAUUUCAUCCUCUAUCAAAUAACCAAACACUAGUCAAAUAAAAAAUUAAAUACAUAUUAAAUUAGUAAAUAAAUUUUUUUAUCCAAAUAAAAAGAAAAGGAAAAGAAUAAAUGAAAUUCGUGUUUCAUUUGUUCUUUUCUUUUUCAUUUUAUUUGGAUAAAUCAUUUUAUUUACUAAUUGAAUAUAUAUUUAAUUUUUUAUUAUAAGGAAAUAUUAUUAUUUGUGUUUAAACAAUAUGUAGGGAUUUUAACUCUACAUGCGUAUGCAAAAAUCUAAUUUUCAUCCAAUUUAUAAUUAAAUCUUUAUUCACAAUACUGACAUUUAUUACUUUCAUUAACUAGAUUGUAAACUCUUCCAUUUAUCUUUACACUCCACUUAGUUAAUUCAUCUUCUAUUAUACUUAUGAGUCAUUAUUUCUUUUUAAGAAUAAAAUUGCAAUACUAUGUUUAAAAAGUCCACCCAUUUUCUUUCUUCUUGCUCCUUGCUAUUUUUAUUUCAUUUUUGCUAGGGCCCAUGUAUCUGGAGAGUUCCCAAAUUAUCGGCCAUUUUAAAUGAUGGCCAAAUUUAUAGAGGAGUUAGUAGGUACACAUAAUUGAUUAGACCAAAAAGUGUUAUGACACCAUCUUUGAAUUUUUUUUUUUGCUCCAGGUGGGUUUUAAACUCACCUACAGCCCAAGAAGGGACUGGUGGCCACUGAGCCAAGCUCGGGAGAACACAAGCAAGUGAAUCACAUUCUUAUUUUUUGUUCCACAAUCAACUGGAUUUCACCCGUUCACUUUUGGCUAUAUUUUUAAAUUUGGACCCGACAUUGAUUCGACUGAGGUCAAGGGUCAACGGAUUGAGAUCGAUUGUUCGAUCGGAUGACAUCAUAAAUAUAUUUUAAUUAUUAUAAAAAUAAAAUAAAAUAGAAAGUUACACCUAAUUUGACAUAUAUGAUGGGUUCGUUUGGAGCAAUCAACAAAUUCAUUAACCACCAGCCAUUUUGGACCGGUAGCCACCGUCAAAGACUUAAAGUCUUGAUGGGUAGGAGGUCAAAGUUUAAAUCUCAACUAUUUUACAAGUAGGAAUAUUCACUUUCCACCGUAGCCAUGACCACAAUGGUCAUGCUUCCCUGUCGUUUUACAAGUGCAUGUGCUUGAGAAAGACAUUCGAGGCCAUUUUAAAAAAUUCUUCCUUCAUGAAGAAGAUUGUGACUUGUGAGGUCAUUCUGCUUGCACCAUUGGUGCCUCCAUCCAUUUAUUUAUUUAGUUUGUUACAUAGGAAGAAGUAUUGGUAUUUGUUACUUACAAAUUAGCAGUUUACAUAUACCAUGGGAACAGAAUCUCCCUGUUAUUGUAAAUUAGGACAGCACAAUUUCUCACAUCCACCAUAGUUUUCACAAACAUUAGAUUGGUGCAUUAUUAUUAUUUUGGGUAGGUAACAAUUGAACUAUACUUGGACUUCUAAUUUAGAAAUAGGAAACAACAACUAUCAGGAAGUAUGGUUUAUGGUUUGGUUAUGCCAACAAUGCAUCCCUUAAAACCAAACUAUCUACGAACACAUUUUCACGCCAUCACAAACAAAAUUCUUCAUUGAAAGUAUUGCACCGUCGCCUUUGUUAAUCAUGAAAAUUUGAAAAUUCUUGCCGAUCACUUUAUCUUCAAUUUAUUGGCCUCCUUAGGCAUCAUCUAGUGUCAAAUUUCUUACUGUUGUAAAUUAUCACAAAUGAUCUGACAGGAUUUUUUUUUUUUUUCAUUUCUUCAAUAUCACUAUAGUAUCAACAAAAACAAUAGGAUUUUUUUUUAAUCACUAUCCAACCCCACAAAUAACAUGACAUGAUAUCUCUCUUUGGAUCUCUGUCUUAAUUAGAGCCAAAAAUUCCCGUAAUUGUCAAAUAAUUAGAGUGCUGAAGGACCAAUCUAGUGGCCCAAUUUUAUCUGAUGUUCGAGUACUCUAACUCAUCAAAAGAAAAAUUACAUUUUAAAUUCCUAUCACCAUCUCCUCGUGACUCUAAUUUGAUGAACACCCUAGGAUUAAGAUUUAAAGUUUUGAUACCAUUUGUUUGCAUAUAAAAUUGUACAAUGGAAGCAUAUUUGAUACAUAAAAAAAUAUGUAGGAGAAGAAAAGUUUAAUAAUUACAAGCACACGAAGCACAUCCAACUUUCAUAUUGAAACCGGCAUAAAAUCUAGGUAGAAUUGCCAUUUUUUCCCUCCUAAAUCCCAAAUGAGCUCAGGAAUUUAAGCAAGGGCAAAUCACCGUCUUAGGUUGUCAUCUUUUUUUUUUUUUUUUUUUUUUUUAGUAAUUUAGGUUGUCAUCUAUAUUACUAAAAUUUACGACAUUAAGAUUUUGCUUACCUGGGAUGAUUUAAAAUCUAGUCUAGCCCAUUAUAUCGUUAGGUGUGAGAUUAGUCAUGGCCCAUUUUUAGAGAAUAUCCAGAGGCAGCCAAAAGUAAGGCCUUGUUGGAUACUCCGUCACUACAGUUAUUUAUUUAUUUAAGUCUUUUUUGUGCUCACAACAUUCCUAAAGUUGUUUAUGAACAUUAUUCGCCAAGAUCAAUGUGAAAAUUUAAAAUUUUUUCAAAAACUUUUGCAACUAAAUACUUAUUUUGUUUUAGAGAAAAAUCCAGUUUUGAUAUCCAAUUUUUGAGGUCUGAGCAGUUUUUAUCCUUAAAAUUUGGACAAAAAUAAAUCUAGUACCUAAUCUUUCAACUUUUGAGUACAUUUAGUACCUUUGAUGGUUUUUUCCCAAAUUGUUACCAAAAAGAGUCACGUGAUAAUCACAUGUUCGGCAACUAUUAUAUUAAAAAUGGCAAAAAAAAUGUAAAAUAUCCUUCUGAUACUAAAUACUUUAGUUUAAGGACUAAAUCUUACAUCUUUUUAGCAUUUUUUUAUGCAAUAGUUUACUAUCAUUUGACGCUUUUCGAUAAUAAUUUGAAAAAAUCCGUUAAGGGUACCAAAUGUGCUCAAAAGUUGAAAAAUUAUGUGCUAAAUUUGCUUUUGUUGAAAAUUUGGAGACUAAAAGCACUCAUGCAUUGUUUGACAACAAACCCAAAUGGGGUUUACCUUUGUUACUGGAAAACAAACUAAGUAUUACAAUCGUAUUGUUAGCUUAAAUUAAAAAUUAGGCUAAGUAAGUGAGCUUUUGUCUCCUUAGUGAGAGUUGCUUUUUCUCUCACUUGGAAAAUGUGUGCUUUUCUCUCUUUCAUGGGAAUUUAAAAUUUCAAAACACGUACUUCUCUGAUACUAAAAUCUUGGCCGGGACAGCAUCAAUACAUUGGAAAAUUAAGAUCAGCAAGUCAUAAAUCACUCUAAAUAUGAAUGCGACAUAAAUGCCAAUGGAAGAAAACCAUAUAUUUUGUUAGCAUAAGAAGCAUCUCCAAGCAUUUCCAUCAGUCGGCUAUAUGCUACGGAUAAGAAGCAUCUCCAAGCUAUAUGCUAUAUCCUCCAACCUUGCCGAAUUCUUGAGCCUUGUCUUCCAAAUGUGUGAUUGUGUCUUGUGUCUAGUAUUCCUUUUCUUCUUUCUGUGUAGCAGCCAAAGCCUUAAUGUGCCUUGUACUGUCCCUUUCUUCUAUUUUCUCUACUCCUUUGGUUGAGUUGGCAUGGUUCUAAGUAGAGGUGUCAAAAUGGGUGACUUGGGCGGGUUUGGGUUGGGUAAAAUGGGUAAUGGGUAUAAGUGAAUCAACUCAUUUAUACCCAUUUAAUUAGAUGGGUAUAAAUGGGUAAGUCAAAAAAUGAAUUGGGUAACCCAAUUACCCAUUUAUAACUCAUUUAUUUUAACUUUUUGCAAAUUCAUUUAAAUUCAUUUUUGCAAACUAAGUUAUCAAUUUAUACCACUCUUUGUACCCAUCAUUAGUUUUAAAUAUUUACUUAUAAUGUUCAAUAAACUUAAUUACCAAUUUUUUUCAUUUAUACUCUAUGUCACAAAAUUACCUAUUAUUUAAUAAUUGAAUAAUACGAAUAUAAAAAUUUGAAUUAAGUACUAUAAAAAUUAAUAUAAAAACUUAAUCCAAAAUUUUGAACCCCUAACAUUUUUUUCAUAUAUAAAUUUAAAAUUUUAUUUUAUAAAGAUAAGAAAAUAGGCUAAAAUUUAUCAUAAAUUGGUAAUGCUAAAAAAUGAGCAAAUUAACAAACUAAGAAAAAAUAAAAUAAUAAGGUAAAACCAACAAAUAAUAAUAAUAAUAAUAAUAAUAAUAAUAAUAAUAAUAAUAAUAAUAAUAAUGUUAGCAUCAUGACAAAAUGAAAAAUUUGAAAAAAAAAAAGGUGGGGGAAAAGAAGAGACUUGGGGGGAAGAGAAUUUUAAAUGGGUUAAUUGGGUUUGAUGGGUUACCCAAUAAUACCAAUUUAUUAAAUGGGUAUUAUUGGGUAACCCAUUUAUACCCAUAUGCAUAAAUUUAAGAUACCCAUACCCAUCUAUUCAUGGGCGGGUAUGGGUAAAUCUAGUUAAGUGGGUUGAUUUGCCACCUCUAGUUCUAAGGAAUUGUGUGGUAUACUAUUUAAAACUGUCUUAAACACUAUGGAGGAAGAACUAGCAGAAAUAAUGCAAAAAUUUGUACUUUCAAGCAAAGAGAUAGGUGGAGCUGACCUAGAUCCAGGGGAUAUAGACUCAAGAAUCAAGGAAUGUCAGGCCAACUUAGUGGAAAGAAUCAUGGGGAUAAGAUAGUUAAUUUUGUGGGAGUUGAGAACUUUGUCAUCACAGCCUGGGACUAUCCCAAGUUAAUUUGAAGACGGUGGAACUAGGAUCUAAUUUGUUCCAAUACAACAUUCCAAAGGAAGAAGACAGGAAUCGCAUCUUAAAUGAAGGACCAUAGAUACUGGACAGCCAAAUACUGGUGCUUAGGAAAUGAUUUGCAGGAAUAGAGGAAGAUAGCUCUACAUUUAAUAUAGCUCCAUUAUGGAUACAAGCACAAAACUUGCCCGUCCAUUGGAUUUCCAAAGGAGGAAGGAACACAUUAAACUUCGUAUGAUGGCACACAUAUCUCAGACUUUAAUGAGAGGAAAAAUGGUAAAAUGAAAUAAGGUGAUUAAGUGGAUUAACUUUAAAUAUGAGCGCCGUCCGAAUUUUUGCUACAAAUGUGGAAAAUUGGACACAGCGAAAGGAAUUGCAAAACAAUGGUGGCAAUAGAGAGAGGCCAACUGGAAAACCAAUUUAGUCCCUGGAUGAGAGUUGGAGGAAGUAAUACCUCACCACAGAAGUGCCAAACCAAUAUUAGGAACACAAAUGACAGAAUUCAUUGGGGUUCAAGAAUGAGGAAUUAGUUCCAAGCAAGGCAGUGGAGAAGGAGUUGCAAACUAUAGAGAUGCAGACUGGGAAGGAAAUGACAAAAGAAGUCAAUACAAAGGCAAGAGGCACUAUUUUUUGCAAAAUUUGAGAAAGAGGUAGUUGGAAUUGCACUGUUGGAGGCAAGGGUGAAACAGCAGACUCAAUUAAUUAAGGGAAAUAGUCCAAGGGACACCCCCAAUCAAAGCAACGAUCAGGCAGAAUCAAGCAAUAUCUCUGGUGCCAGAAGCAGCAACCAUGGCGCUGGAAUAGAGGAAAUCCACCUCAAAAACAGCAACCUGGAGGUUGAUAGCCUUAAAAAGGGUAGGAACUAUAGCAGAAUAAAGAAAGCAGCUUGAUCAGAUAGGGAAAAAUGAAUUGCAGAUAGAAAAAAGAGGAAAAGAUGAAACAGGAGCAAGGAGAGGAAAUGCAGGUUGAUGAAGAAUUUCUGAAAAGAUAAAGGUGGUAGCAUUAAAAAAAGGAAGGAGAAUGAACAAGCAAAUCAAAUCACCAACAAGAACCAGACAACCAUUAAAGGAGUUAAAUGGACAGUGUCAUAGACCAGAACACCAAUGGAAGCAAAAGGUUAGUUUGAGAAAUGAGGAAAUGAGGGAUGCUGAGAUGGAAGAUCAAGACCAGAAAAGAAAUAGAAUUACUAAGAUGUCUGUGUGUGAUGCAGGGAAAGAAGUAGGGGUAGAGGCUAGCCCAACCUGGUCUCCAAAAUCCACAUGAGAAUACUGGUGUGGAGUUCUCAAGGUGCAGGCAGCCCCUUGGCAAUUCCAUAGUUGAAGGAGGUUAACAACCUCUUCUCCCCCAAUAUGAUUAUUCUGAGUGUGACAAAAAAUAAGACAAAGUUUAUAAAAAAUUUUAAAAAAGAUUAAAUUUUAAUGAAUGUUUUGUAGUCGAAGCAAUGGAUAGAUUCGGUAGCAUGACACUUAUGUGGAACAAUGACAUAAAAAUUUAGAAAUCAUACAGUCAACAUUAACCAUUGAAGCACAUGUGUUAGACCUUGAAACACAAAUGGAUUGGUGGUUCAUAGGUAUUUAUGCAAGUUGUUUGGAUCAAGUCAAAGGAAUCAAUGGAAAGUUAUUGGAGAAAGGAAAAUGGAUCUAGGAAAACAUGUGGAUAAUAGCAGGUGCUUGUCAAUGAUAUAGUAUCCAAUGAAAAAAAUAGGGUGACAAGGUGAGAGAGCAAUAAAGCUUUAGGGAUUUUAGGAAUUUGAUUGCAGAUAAUGAGUUAAUAGAUAUAGGUUUUGAAGGAAAUCCCUGGAUAUGGUGUAAUGAUUGGGACUGGAAGGGUGAAGUAAGACAAAGGCUUCAUAGAGCUCUAUGUAGCCUACUCCGGUUUCAGACUUUUGAUAGAGCUAAAUGUGUGACAGCCCCACCUCCCCCUAAGGCGAACCAAAGGGUUCGGCGGACCACCUGCCCAACUCUCGUCGGGACUCACUACAGUCCUCAAAUAAAAUACAUCACUCACAUCCAAUAACAUAGGGUACAACCUCAAGAAUAAACGAAAUAACAUUUUUCAAACUUAGAACGAGAUAAAAUACAUUACAAAUCUCAAGUAAGGGUAUCAUUCCCCGAAUAAGACAAAACCCUCAGUUCUCAAAUAAUUACAUCAAAUACUUAUCAAGAGAAUCGAAUUCAAAUUAUAUAUGAGAUAUCCCUUCAGGUACUAAUCACUCAAUACAAGCGCUUUCUUUGGCCUCGAGUCUUGUGGAAAAAAUUAUUUUUGGGGGUCACUAAUUAAGUUUCAGAACUUCCACUUCCAAACCUGUUAAGGAAAACAAAUUGGGGUGAGCUAACGCUCAGUGAGGCCAAGGGAAAAACAUGCAAGCAUGCUAGCAAAGAUACAAUAUAAAGCAAUAACUCGAGUAACCAAUAACUGCGAAACAUUAAGCAAUUAGAGAAUUUAAUCACAAUAAAAGGAUACGGGAGCUCUCAGGAGCUAAUCCACGCGCGAUCCAAGCUCAGGUAGUUGACCCUCCGUCAACUUUCACAGUUAUCCAUGUAGAACUCCACUUACUACCUCCAGCCACCAUGACACCCUCUUGGAUCCGUAACCAAAAAUGCAUGUAGGUGGUAUCACUUAACAAGUAUACCUAGCAAGACCCCUUAUUUGGAUCAAGCUAUAACACUUCCCAAGAUUCACCAAGUUUCUCGACCAAGCCCUUGCCGGCUCGAGUUACAAGGCUAGCCAAUGGGUUGGGGCGUCCCCCCCAUUCACUUUUAGGUCGAUGAGACGAAACUCCAAUCGACAAGAUUUGGUCAUAGCAUUGAGACGGGAUGAGCGGUACCUCCUACCCUAAAAGGGCAUGAUACAUUCUGCCGCUCAAUGCUCACGAAAAACACUUUCAUUUGCAUUCACAUGUAACACGUAUCACUUAUUAAGCAAGCAAUUUCAUGAAAGAGAGGACAAGGGCGAUAAAGUACGCCCUAGCCUCAUUAACUAGCAAGUACAAGAAUCAUUUCAUUUAAACACUUCACAUGCACUUGAUACUCACCAAGUAUCAAAAGUCAAAGUUUGAGAAAUUAGCUCUAAGACGCUUCGCCGGGAGUUCCCUCGAAGUCCUCUUGAGAUCCUGAAAGUAUGCAAUAAUGCAUUGUAUCUCAAAUUCCAGGCCAUACAGUAUUCGUGUAAAGAAAAGAAAUUGUCAAUUUUGACUCCAAAAUUCAAGUUUCCAAAGUAUUUCAGUUCAUAAGGAACCGACUUUCAAAUGAGGUCUCAAGUGAUAGGUAAACUCAAGUUCACCAUGAAAAUAGGUUUGAAAUGCUCUAAGAGUUGUAAAAAUGUAACCUAGGCCCUUAAAAGAACAUUUAGGUCCAAAUUGGAAAUUUUCACUUUUCGAGUCAUUCUUGGAAAAAUCAGUCCGGAAGUUCGGAAAGUCUAAAAAUGGAAAAUUUUACACCGUCAAAAACUUCAUUCGAAGCAUAACAACUUUACAGAAGGUCACUUUCCAAGAAUCAAAUCAGAAACAAGUCAAUUUCUCCAAGAAAGUUUACUAUGCAUUGAAGAUAGGUCAAAACAGUCCAAGUUUUCCAAUAAUUUUGGAAUUUCGUUAAAAAUCAUAGAAUCAAAACUAGCCUUUGAAAUUUGAUAUGCAUGUAAAUUUCCAAUCCAGGUUUCAAAUAAAAAAAAAAUGGAACUCGAUUCCGAUGUUCCUAGCUCAAGAAAUAAAAAGUUGAAGUUCGCAAAAUUCCUGGACUGUUGGCCUUUCCAGAAAUUUUCCAGAUUUAAUGCACUUCGCUAAUUAGGCCGUAUCUCACUCGAUUCUCAGUGAAAUUGAAAACGGUUGGUGGAUUUAGAAACUAGGUUUACAAGGCUAUAUAUGUGUAGAAGAAAUCAUUUCCAAAAUCCAGACAUAAGUGGUUCAAAAUCAAGCAGAAAAUGGAUUUUCUGGACAGUCUCGGAUGAACAGUAAUAAGCAGGCAGCCAACUUUCAAAACUCGCCACGAAUCGCUCGGGAUGAACUAGAAAAUGAGCUUGGUACCAUUUUAAAGCUCUAAGAGUCUACUUUCAAAUGCUGCAAAUGGCAGUCCAUUUCGAUCAACGAGCAAAACGUUAUAGCUACACAAAUGUUGCUGGUCAGAAAAUUCUGGAGCUUGUUCCAGUUUUGCUUCUUUACUUGUAACUCAAAAUUUAACCAACCAUUUGGGUUGAUUUUUGGUAGACAACCACAAUACACAUAGCACAACAUAUCUACACCAAUUUGGAAGCUCAAUUUGCACCAGAAAAUUUUCGAAAUUACAGGGCAGCAAACAAGAAAGUCGGCAGCAAGUCAGAAAUUUCAGACAGUACCUUUCCAAAUUUCUAACUUUCUUCCAACUUCAUUCCAUCAAUCAUUCUAUAUACAUGUAACAUAGCACAAUAUCAGCAACCAAAACAUGUUAAUUCAUCAAAUCAGCCACCAAUAAGCAUCCUCAAACCCUCGAGCAUGUCAUGAAAUUGCAAGAACAUAAUUACUCAACCAAUCAACCCAAAUUCUACCAUAGGUUGCAAACCCAUGCUACCUUUGCUCCAUUUGAGCUAUAAUUUUGCAAGAUUGAAGUGUGGGUGAGUGAGUUACCUCAAAACUUAGUUGGACAGCUUUAGACAGAAAUCUUGACCGAAAUUCCUCCAAGAAAACCGAUGAACAGCCCCUCUUCCAAGCUAGGAUCAAAGCCCUCUAAUGGAUGAUGAAAUUUGGAAGUGGAUUGAAGGUAAUUUUGUAAGGAUUUUGGCUAGAUUUUUCUUCCCAUCUUCUGCCCAAUAGAGAGUGACGAGAGGAGAGAGAAUGAAAUCAGGUAUUGUAAUGAAAGUGGAGAGAAUUGGAGCCUUAAGUCUAAGUGUCAACUCAUGCUAGGUCUGUUUAGGGUCUUCGCGUGUCCAAUUUUCGCGCUCGUUUGCAACUUUUGUGCACUAAACCUCUGAGGUAAUUUCCCUAGUACAUUAAUAGACAUUACUAGUAGUCUAAUAUCAUGUUCUUAAAAUCUCCAAUUAAUCAAAUUAAUGUGCCUGUCGGGGCCUUUUCGGCACGCGCGCGUAUAAAGGUCAAACUUAAGGGUUUUUCGUUUGAACUUGGAAAUUCAACUUAUUCGAUUCUAAAACUCUAAAAUAUGAUAAUCCAAAUAUAUAUAUAUAACAAUAAAAAUCACGAUAAGCAAUUCAUCUUGAAUAAAUUUGGGCAUUAAAAUAAUAUACGCGUAAAGAACCAAUCGGUAAAAUUUAUUUUCGAGAAAUUCAUGUACUUUAGUAUUUUUUUUUUGGGUAACUCGAGUACGAAAUAUUUUUAAAAUGACCAAUUUAACAAUAUUUUGAAAUAAUAAAAUUAUGGGUCCUCACAUCCUCUCCCCCUUAAGAGAAUUUCGUCCUCGAAAUUCAUACCUUAACUCAAAAACUCCAGAUGUCACUUUUGCAUCCCAUCUUACGAAUUGUAAAACUUUUCCGCAUUAAAUAUCACGUAAGUCUUGUAUUCUUAAUCUGUUCACGACGAGCGAGAUAACAAUUCCUUCAUGCGGUUCACAGAUUCAAUUGCCUUAAGAAAUUUGUCAAUUCAAGAACAAAUGAUGUAAUAGCCCUUUAAAUUGGUAUACGCAAUGAACUUUAAAUAUCUCGCAGAUCAAAUUCGAUAAGAUCUUAUUAGCACACAAGUUUUGUCCUACUGGACCUUAACCCUAGUAAUCUUUCAAAAUAGAUAGUAAGAGCCCUCAAGAAUCAAUAACUUCAAAAAUCAUAUCUGGUUCCGUAUACAUGUAUGCAAAUAUCGAAGUACGAAAUGAAACCUUACAUUCAAUAAUAUCUUAUUGUAGUCCCCAAGUCAUUUAUGAGUAUUACUGCCAAUUUUUAACCCAAAUACGACUUAAAGACCCAAAUCCAUUAAUGCUACUGGUGUAUUCAUUACUCCCAAUGGCAUAAUUGAAUUUCAAAGUGCUUACUUUUCUGAUGAACUAGCCUUAAUCAUAUCUUCCUCUAGAAUCCUCAAUUAGUUGUAGUCCUGUAUUAAAUCUAACUUGGAAAGUACUACUGUCUCUUGUAGAUACCAAAUGAUUCAUUUAUGCAAGGUAAAAGAUAUUUAUUCCUAAUACCCACUUGAUUCCAGCUCGAUAUUAUAGACAUGGCCUUCUCACAAGGUUAUAAGCGUAACAAAAUUUAGAUAUACGAAUAAGUCAUGAAAUUGAUUAAAUGCAAAGUAAACUUUCAUUUGCUAUAAAAGACCAUAAUAGUUUCAUCAAGUUAAGCUCGACGAGUUGUCGAGAUUAAAAAAAUAAUUAAUUUGUUUUUAAAAAAUAAAUAAAAUAGUAAUUUUUCUUAACAAAUAAUAAUUAUUAAAAAAAUAUAUGUAAUUUUACUAUUAAAAUAAAAAAAUAAUAAUAUAUAAUCGAGUACAAGCCAGCUCGCGAACUAACUAGUUUAGUAUUUUUGAACUCAAUUUCGAGUUCAAAUUCGACUUGAUCGUCUCGAUCUCGACUUGAGCCGCUAGCAAUCGGCUCGCAAGCGGCUCAAUUCGUUUACAACCCUAAAAAGAAUGGCUGAUAACAAAAUCUUGUAUUGAAAAAUUGGAAAUUAUCUUAAAUUUUUCAUUCAUAAGCUCUCUGUUUAUAAAGCAAAUAAGAAACAAACCAACAUAAUCCUCUACUAUCAAAUCUCAACAAAAGAUACCUGCAAUUCCACAAGUAAAACUAGUCAAAAGACACUAAAUAUGGAACUACUCCUAACAACUAGAUUUAUCCAACAACUAAUUCGUAUAUUCAAGUAUCAAAAAUUUAUAGUGAAGUCGUAUAAUUAUAAAACUCCUUGCUAUUUUUGUUGUAGAUUAUGAAUAGUCUUCUCAAAUCUUCAAACCUUGUUUUAGAUAAGGCUUUUGCAGAAUAUCUGCAAAUUGAUGAUUAGCCUUGUAAUGAGCCACUUCCAAACUAAGUGAUGAUGCUUUUAAUGUAUCUAAAUAACCUCUACAAAGGUUCAAAAUAGAACACUUUCUACAACAUUUAAACCUGAACAGAAAACUUGUAAGGCGCAAUAUAGUUGUUGUGAGAUACAUAAAAACAACCCUUAAAAUUUUUGUAUGAUUCUUUAUAAACUUUGUCACCACCAUCAUGUUUGGAUUUUUCUCUUCAAUUGCCACAAUGCAGUCUAAAUUUUUUGAAGGUUCUUAAAACUUGUAAAUUCAAAAACAGAAAAAUUACAAUCUUCAUAAAUGUCAAGAAUAAGUUUGAUACAUCCUUCCAUCAAUUUAUCAAUCUCCUACUGAAAUUCUUUUGGGAUUUGAAUUUUUUAUCUCGUAAUGUUGUACUCCAGAAUUGUCAAAAGUUGACUAACUUAAAGAGAAAUCCACCUUCGAAUUACCAAAUGCUGACCAAUUCACCGGAAAUUUUUCUCUAUUCAUUUUUAUUGAUAAAAGUUAUUCUCAAUUGGAUAAUCAAUAAUACAAGCCAUUAUUCUUAUGAUAACGAUAUCAAAAAAUGAUGUGUGAAUGUUGGCCUUAGAUCUGUGUCUAACUGCAACAGUGUGACAUCUAAUUUGUGUAUCUAUAGGAUCCUCAAUUAGUGCUAAAACAUGAUGUGUCUUCACCAUAUUUCAUAGAUCACUAACUAUCAAAUAAGUCCAACGUUUUACAACCUAAAUUUGAUAGUUUUCGCCAUAAUAAUUAGAGGGUUAGACAAAAAGUUCUUUCUUGUCAUGGUUUUGAGCUAACAAUGGAUCUUCACCAAUUACAUACACUGUAAAAAAACAACACAAUCCUUCAAAAUAUAGGUUCUUGAUACCAAUUUGUUGGAAGUUAGAACGUAAACUAAAAAAGAUACUUGCACUUAGUGCCGUAAUAAAGCCCUGUAUUGAAACACUGGAAACACCUUAAAUUUGUCAUUCAUAAACUCAUUAUUUUUAGAACAUGUCUUUUGCUAACAAAUCUCAACAAAAGAUACUUGUAUUUCAAAAUAGUUGAACUAGUUAAAAAACACUAAAUGUGGAACUACUCCUAACAACUAGGGCUCUAUUUUGGCACCCUUAUUUUUAGAGGUGUUUUUAAUAGAUAAGUUUUUAAGCUACUUCAUCUACAGAAACUCCCUAAAAACACUACAAAAUUUUUAAAAUACACAUUCCAAAAUACCCCAAGCACGCACCCAAUUCUCUCAUUUACCAUCACUCUCCCUAACCAUUUUCAUUUCCACUACCACUACCCCCACCUCAGCCUACCCAUUUUCCCAAAUACUCAAAUACACAAAAAUUUUUGUAAAACUUUAACAUUAAGGUACAGUAAAAUUUUAGACAAAUUUCCAAAAAACACACUAUUCAAACAUACUUUAGAUUUAUUCAACAACUAAUUCAUGUAUUCUAGUACUAAAAAUCUGUAGUGAAGUUGCACAAUUCCAACACUAUUACUGUAAGAAAAAUAUAUUCAUUUUUGUGGUCAGGUUUGUUGGGUCAUACUGGCCAUUGCAAGUAUUGUAAGCACAAUCAGGUUAUAUAGUUUUGUGACAAGUUGCAAGUAUUAUUUAUGUUUGAUGGUAAAUCCCCAGCAUUUCGGUUUGUAAUUCCAUUUUCUCAUUAAUUUGUGAAUUUCUCAGGACUCCGCAGGUUCUUAACUGCUCUAAUGGAUUAAAAAGGCCAUUCAUAUAAUUUGCCUCGAGAAGGUGCUUACCUACGAAAGAAAUUGAGGACAAAAUUUUAGUUGCAAAGUAGUUGGUAAGGGGUCACAAAUUCUUCAGGAAAAAAGAAUAAUGAUUAACAAUCAUUUUGUACUCUACCCAAAAGAAAAAAAAAUCUAUUUAGAAAAAUAAAAGUCAUCAUUUUUCCCUUUUUUUUUGGUCCCUCUUGUAAUGAAACAGGGAAGCAUACUUUGCACACCAUGGUUGAUGGAAAUUUAUACCAAGCUAUGUUAUUGUUAGCUACCUAAUUGUUAAAGUGCUAUUAUCUUAAUAUUUUGUUCCUAAAGUUCUAGGCAGUCGGAUACAAGUCAAGUUCGAAAACCACGUGAUUAGUCUAUUUCCUUAUCAUUAUAUAGAGUUCUUAGUGAAGGGGUAGGAACGGUUGCAGGAUCCUGAAGAUUCAUGGUUAAGAUUUGGUUAAGAAAAAUGUAAGAUCCAGAUUGUAUGUUGUUCAUCGUUUUUUACAUCAUGUAUGAAGAUCACAAAAUUUUGUUCUAUAGUUAGACGUUAUUGAAAAUGAGUUACACAUAUGCAUACAAAAUUAUAUAUUGUGCAUUUUAUACAAAACCGACCCGAACGAUUUUCCUGACAACCGUUCGAGCCGUGUCCGUUAGUGAUACGAGUCCAUGACUGUUUUGUAUUCCUUGGUCCAGGUUACCCACCUUUGGUUACGAGGAAAGUUGUGAGUCCAUAAAUAUGUCUAGUGCUAUUACAUUAAUAAUGGAAGCGAGAGUUUGAGAGAAUACUUGAGAAAUUCAAGUUAUUGAGUUAUUUGAGAGAAAUUUGUACCGUGAGUUAGAGAGUAAAAGCUACAGCUUGGUCUGGUUAUUAUUGAGAGUUCAGUCAAUAAAAUUGAGCAUUUACUGGUGUGCUUAUUCUUCUCCUCUUUCUAAAUAUUUUUAUAAAAUUGAGUAUUUAGCCUUUGCAGUGCCUUUUUUUUUUGCAUCAAUAAGUGGUAUUAGAACUAGUUAGAGUCUUGAUGUUUUGCAGAGGCAAAUCUGCCUAAAUUUUGUGCUAGUCUUAAUAUGAGAGUCGGAUGUGUUUUAUGUGUUUGCGAUUCUUAAACUCCUCUUCUCCCACAUAUUUUUAUAUGUGUCGAAUAUGCUUUGCUGUGUGGUUUUAUAUCCCAACAAGUGGUAUCGGAAAUUUGGGUUUUGAUCCUAAGGCCUGUGCUCGAAAUUAAGGCACAAAAUUUGAAAUUUUGUUGUUGACAAUUAGGACACAAAAAUUGGUCCUAGUUGGGUAGAAUUAAAAAAAGAAAAAGAAAAAAGGAGAUCCUACCGUAUGAUCAUUUAGAUUGGAAUGGACAAGAACAGUCAAACAAAAUUAAGUUCAUUGUUGAAAUUGGAUUGGUGACAAUUCAUGGAAUCCAUGAAGUUAACCAGGGGAGAGAUUGUAGAUUAAUAUUCUCGUCAAAGUGGUAAGUUAGUUUUUGAUCUAGUUUAUCCAUUGUGUAGAGUUUUGGCUAAUGGUGGAAAAUUUGGAUGAUGACAACCUGUAUUAAAUAUUAGUCAGGUCACAUGCGUUUGAAACAACCAAUGGAAUGAUAUCUUUGACAAUAUGAUUUAGGACAGAUUCUUUGUGCAUAUUGUACAAACAAAAGAUGAAAGGAAAAAGAAGACAAUAUUGUUUUUCAUCAUCAAAAUCAUCCUCCUCAAUCGCACCAAACAAUGUAUGCAACCGAAAAUCGUUAACCCCUUCAAAAUGUUCAUAAAUUUCUCCAUAAAUUUUUCAACCUGUCUUUAUCAAAGUCUACUUCUCACGUAUCACCAAAUUUUGGAAUGUAACGGAUGGGACUGCCAAAAACGCGAUUCGAGCUGAGCGAGCUAGUCAGGGACGAGCUGAUGGGAGGAAAGCGAGUGAACUGAGCUCAGUCCUAGAACGCGAUCCGAGCUGAGCUGCUACGAACUGAGAGGGAGCUGAUGCGCAACUGAGGUGAGUGAACCGACUUGCAAAGGGAGGAACAGCGAGGCUAGUUCCCCGGAGCAGCUCCGACGGUCAAGUCAAUAAGAGCUUGAGAGUAAAGUAACAGUGGGAAGUGCUGUUGAUGGCGUACCUUGUGUUGCCUUGUGGUGCUGUAUUUAUAGACUUGUGGGUAGUAGUUUCCUUAUAAAAUUAGAAGUCCGACUGGAGAGGGAGUCCUUCUAGGGCUCCAUCGGCUAGCUCCAAAAGGUUUGGAGGCCACGGCCCACCAGGCCCAUCCAGCGGGGAGGCGGUAGCCAUGUGCGAGCUGGCAUCCCUCCUGUUCGAGCUAGUCUAGCCGAACUAACAGGUCACCAUGUCCGAACUGACACGUGGCUCCGGUGAAUUUGCUCCUCUAAAAUAGCCCACCUCUGAAGACUAGAGUCAUCGCAUGGUCGCAUGAAUCUAGUCCUAGUUUGGGGGGACAUGUCAGUUUGACUACACGUGUUCACGAGCGUCGAGUAGAACCGGCUGAGCUGGACGCUUUUUCUCAAGAGGUUGAAGCUCUAAAGAAGCAACUGGUUCAAAUUCAUACAGACCUUGAGGUGGUGACCUGCAAAGAACAUCGCUCUGUCCGCUCAACUGGAGGCCGAACUGAAGAGUCAGCAGGUCAUUACUCAACUAGGGGCCGAACAGAGGAGGUUGGCUGAACUGAACGGUCGGCAGGUCAUUACUCAACUAGCGGCCGAACAGAGGAAUUCUACUCUCUUUGCUCAGAGGCCGAACAGAAGAAGUUCUAUCAUCUCUGUUUUGAGGCCGAACAGAGAAGUUCUACCAUCUCUGUUGUAAGGCCGAACGGAGGAGUUCUGUCCUCUCCGCUCAAUUGGAGGAGCUCGGAUAGAAGAAGUUCUAUCCUCUCUGCUCAGUUGGAGCUCGAAUAGAAGAAGUUCUAUUCUCUCUGCUCAGUUGGAGCUCGGAUAGAAGGAGUUCUAUCGUCUCUGCUCAAUUAGGGGAGCUCGGAUAGAAGGAGUUCUAUCAUCUGCUCAGUUGGAGGAGCUCGGAUAGAAAGAGUUCUAUCGUCUCUGCUCAGUUGGAGGAGCUCGGAUAGAAGGAGUUCUAUCCUCUCUGCUCACUCUUCAGGCAGUUUGCUUCUAUGGCAUUAGCCCUCUCGUGAGCUCGAUCUAGCAUUUCCCGAACUGACUUGGGAGGUUUCUCGACGAACUCGGUGUAUAGCUUCUGCUUACGCAAUCCAUUGAUGAAAGCAGCCAUGACAACUUUAUCAUCCAGGUCCCGGACCUGGAGGGACUCGUUAUUGAACCGCACCAUGUAUUCGCGCAGUGAUUCCUCAGGCUUUUGCUGAAUGGUCAUCAGGUGAACAGUGCUCUUAGAGAAGGCUCGCGACGAAACGAACUGAGCUGUGAACAGUCGCGCGAGCUGGCUAAAGGACCGAAUUGAUCUAGGAGGCAACUCUUGAAACCACUGUCGUGCCUUUCCCUCCAGGAACAUUGGGAAAGUUUUGCACCUAACGGCAUCAGCGGCCGUUUGUAGGCGUAUUUGCGUCAUAAACUCGAACAAGUGGUCCUCCGGAUCCGUGGUAGCGUCGUAAGGUUUCAUGCUUGGUAUUUUGAACUUAGCAGGUAGCGGGUAGUUCUCAAUGUCAGGCACGAAGGGGGAGGCGGUAUACAUGUCUGCUUCUGGAUCCAAUAACAGAUCCAGUUCAUCCUGUACAUGGUACCCUUCUUUCCUGGGAGAGAGCUUCCUCCUUGGGAACCCUUGGAAGGGCUCCGGGUGCUCAGUUCGGGAACUCUUGUGAGAGGGCUCCAUAACCUCGAACUGUUCAUGUGUAAGCUCUUUCUGCGCCCGCUUUGGGCGAGGGUUGGAACUUUCCAUUCUAGACUUUCACAGCCCAACUCCAUCCAUCCUCUGUGUCUUGGACUCCUGGUCGUGAUGGCCUCCUGACUGCCCCUUUAGGUAGUUCACAAUAGCCUCAAAGGUGGGCAGAUUUUUGACUACUGCUUGCACUAGUUGUUCAAGUGGAUUCGCGAGAGCUCUGUCCCGUCAUUCCCCCGCAUGGGAUCCUGACGGAAAUUUUGGGGGUUGCUCUGCUCGUUCUCCUUGGACCCAUCAGCAUUUCUCUGGGAUCUAGUUCUCGGCAUGAUUCGCGAAAGGAAGAAUUACGUUCCCACAGAUGGCGCCAAUUGAUGCGACUGCCAAAAACAAGAUCCUAGCUGAGCUGCUGCGAGCUGAGCGAUGGUCAGGGAUGAGCUGAUGGGAGGAAAGCGAGCGAACUGAGCUCAGUCCUAGAACGCGAUCCUAGCUGAGCUGCUACGAACUGAGAGGGAGUUGAUGCGCAGGUGAGGUGAGAGAACCGACCUGCAAAGGGAGGAACGGCGGGGCUAGUUCCCCGAAGCAGCUCCGACGGUCAAGUCAGUAAGAGCUUGAGAGUAAAGUAACAGUUGAAGUGCUGUUGAUGGCGUACCUUGUGUUGCCUUGUGGUGCUGUAUUUAUAGACUUGUGGGUAGUAAUUUCCUUAUAGGAUUAGAAGUCUAGCUGGAGAGGGAGUCCUUCUAGGGCUCCAUCGGCUAGCUCCGAAAGGUUCGGAGGCCACGGCCCACCUGGCCCAUCCAGCAGGGAGGCGGCAGCCAUGCGCGAGCUGGCAUCCCUCCUGUCCGAGCUGGUCUGGCCGAACUAACAGGUCACCAUGUCCGAACUGACACGUGGCUCCGAUGAAUUUGCUCCUCUACAGUAACCAUAGUGAGGAUUUAUACCUACUAUAAAAUUAAAAAAAAAUAUCUUACAAAAAUAUAUGAGGCACAUGAGAAUGACCAAUAAGUUUCCUAAAAAGCAUCUCAAACGUUGAAAACAAUAACUAGCCACCCAAUACAUAGCACAUAAGAGUUGGUAAUUAAGAAACUACUAAAUAAUUACUCUAUACCUUAAACAAGUAAACUAUUAAAAUUGAACUAUACUUGAACUUCUAAUUUAGGAAAAAGAAACAACAAUUAUUAGGAAGUUUGGUUUAGUUAUGCCAACAAUGCAUCCCUUAAACCAAACUUAUGAACACAUAUCCAUGCCAUCACGAGCAAAAUUCUUCAUUGAAAUCAUUGCACCAUCGUCUUUGUUAAUUAUGACAAUCCAAAAAUUCUUGUCGAUUACUUUGUCUUCAAUUUAGUGGCCUCCUUGGAUAUCAACUGGUAUCAAAUUCUUACCCUAUAAAUCAUCACAUGAAUAAUCUUUCUUACCCUGUAAAUCAUCACAUGAAUAAUUUGACAGGAUUUUUUAAUCUCUUCAAUAUCACUCUUGUAUCAACAACAACAAUAGGAUUUUUUUUUCUCCGAUCACUAUCCAACACCAACAAUAACAUGACAUGAUCUCUCUUUUUGGAUCCCUGUCUUAUUAGAGCCAAAAUUCCCCUAAUUGUCAAAUAACUAUAGUGCUCAAGGACCAAUCUAGUGGCCUAAUUUUAUCUAAUGUUCAAGUACUCUAAAUGUCAAAAGAAAAAUCACACUUUAAAUUCCUAUCACCAUCUCGUUGUGAUGAACACCCGGGAUUAAGGUCUAGAGUUUUGAUACCACUAGUUAGCACUUAAAAUUGCACAACGGCCGCAUAUUUGAUACAUAUAAAAAUAUGUGGGAGAAGAGUAGUUUAAUAAUCAUAAACAGAUAAAGCACAUCCGACUCUCAUAUUGAGACCGGCAUAAAAUCUAGGUAGAAUUGUCAUUUUUUUCCUCCUAAAUCCCAAAUGAGCUCGUGAAUUUAAGGUAGGGAAUCACAGCCUCAGGUUGUCAUCUCUGUUUCUUUUUUUUUUUUUUUUUGGUAAUUUAGGUUGUCUUCCAUAUCACUAAAAUUUACGACCUUAAGAUUUUUCUAACUUGGGCUGAUCUUAUUUCUCAAGUGGAUCUUGAAUGAGCUGAGAUGAUUUAAAAUCAUAGUCUAGCCCAUUAAAGUCAUGGCCCAUUUGAAAAGUCAGCAAAACGUAAGCCUUGUUGAAUGCUCUGUCACUACACUUAUCUAUUUUUUUUUAUUUAUUUUUUUUUGUGCUCACAACAUUCCUAAAGUUGUUUAUGAUUUCUUCAAAAACUUUUGCAACUAAUUACUUAUUUUGUUUUACAAAAAAACCUGAAGAGGCUUUCCUUGUUACUGAAAAACAAACUAAGUAUUACAAUGAUUGUUAGCUUAAAUUAAAAAUUAAGCUAACUCAGUCUAAGCAAAUGAGAACAGAACCUUCCAUUCAAGGCAGAGGAAGGAAUUAUAUGUUACUUUUGGCAAUGGGUUAGGUACCAUAAUAAAGCAUGCUUUGCGUUUAUCAAAGGAUAACACCGAAAGGCCUGCAUGUUUAACCUGAACCGUCAAAUUCUAACGCGGAUGAAUUGAAAUUCACAAAAUAUUGCAAUAUUAAAUUGAUGGUUGGUGGCAGGUGGUGGUAGGUUCGAAAUGCUUCUCUCACUUUCACGUAUCAAGAACAAGAAAUCCUCAUCCGGUGACCACAACAAUGGACCCUAUCAUUAGUCGACUUUAAUAUUAUGAUCAGAUUUAGUUGUUUAGAUCAAAAAGUAUGCUUUAGUUAUGUAUAAUUGAUGUCAAAUUAGAUGCUGGCAGCAUUCUUGCAUUACAGUUCGGAAACAAAAAGGGUCAAAUAUAUAUGGGGGAAGCGAUGUCAUAGAAAAUGCAAAUUUUCUUGCAGUCAUGAAAGGAAUCUCUAAUGCAAAGGAGCUGAUAACAUAAAUGCGGUAUAUUCUGCAGUUACCUAUAAAUACCAAGAGCGCUGACUCAUUCACUGGAAAUAAAGUAAAAUGCGAAUGACAAGAAUUAGGACCAUGAAAUUGUAGAAUCACACUGAUGAAGCACGCCAUCAGGGAAAAGCUUGGAUUCAAAGAGAUUACUCGCCCGAGUCAUCAUCAGAAGAACUCUCCGAUACUUCAUUGGGACGAGAUGCCUCCGAAAUACUUGACUCGCCGAGAACUCGAUCGAGUCAUCGAAAACUCAUCCGAGAAGUCUCCAUCAACGGUAGAACCGGUUGAUUUACACUGAAUCACCCUGAGUCAACUCGUCGAGAUUUUCUUUUGUUAAUUUUACAGAUUUUUUUUGCUAAUCUUUUAUUAUUUUUGUUUAGCAUAAUUUUUUUUAAAAUUAUUCACAAUUCUUAGAAUAUUAAAUGCUUCAAAAUUUGCAUCUCGUCGAGACCGCGACCGAUCUACCAAAACAGAUGUGGAAUGGUCCAGGCCCGCAACCACAAUUGCGACUACGACUUUCAACCAUGCUUGGAAAUCUAAUGUACUUGCAGAAAUUCCUCUGCUAUUAAAACUUGAGCAGAAAUUCCUAUGCCAUCAAAUCUUCAGCAAUUUCUUUGAAAUUUUCCAAGAUUUUGAGUGAUUUGUUGUUUAGUCACUUUUUAAUUGCCUAAACAGAAUAAUAGCACGCAAGAGGGAUAUCUAAUACAAUCUUAGAAAUGAAGGAUUUAGAUAGCAGGAAACUAGAGGUAUGUUAUUCUUUAGAAACUCCCCAUUAGUCAUCUUCAGCCAAUGUUAAUGCUGGAUGAAGUAAUAUUUUGGAUGACAAACAACCUUGAAUAUCUGUAGUUGCUCUCAAUAAGGAACGAACAGAGAACUAAAUGUAUGUUACAUAUAAACUUGAUGCUUUUACACCAAAUAGCAAUUCAGUCCUAAUCAGUGUAAAUGCUAAAGUAAAAUUGAAUGAAAACAUAACAAGGAUAAUAAACCAAUGAUGGAAUUACUGUAAUGUUCCAACCACAUUUCAGUCAUCCAUGUCAAGAAGCAACUUUUCCAUUUUCUUUAACCUCUUCUCCAUUUUCUUUCACCCCUUUGCUCAAGGUUUCUUCUGAACUCUUCACCUCACUGUCACCUUCUUUCUGUUUCUCUUUCUCUUCUUUCUCAGCUCUUAGUCUUUCUUCUUCCUCUGCUUUGAGUUUUGCUUCCUCUUCUGCUUUCAGCCUCGCAUCUUCCUUGGCUUGCUCAAUUGCUUUGAUCAAUCUCUCUAAACAUAUGUCAGCACCCUCUCCAGCAGCCU
rnacentral:lncRNA from 1 species